UUAAUUGCUUCUUGUGUUUAUAUACUGAGUUUUAAAAAAUUAUUUUUAUUUUUCUGAGUAUUAUUAAUAAAAUGAUGGUUAAACAAUAGUGAAUAAGUGUACUGUAAAGGGACGAUGAAAUAUUUUAAAUUGAAUUUUGAGGAAGUAGUCUGGAGAGAUAUACCUUUUGUAUCAGGGUUUUAUUAAAAUAUUUAAUUAUUUGGUUUUCCCGAAUUAAAGUGAUCUAUUAAUUUAUUUGUAAUAUUUGGGUGUUUUAUAAUCCUUUGAAAUUUGUUAAUAGUAGUUAUAUGCCAUUCGCACUUUAUUAUAUCUGGUUUCUCAAGAAUUGAAUUUAAUUCAGCCCAAGUCGUGUCAUUUAAUUUAUGUUUCGAUCGGAUUGGGUAAUAUUUGGAAGGAUUAGCUUUCAAGUUGUUAGGUUUUAAUAAUUAUUAAUUCAGAUUUAAGUUUACUAUGCUUAGAAGUAGCAAUGUAUUAUUAUUGUGUUAUAACUGAGUUUUUAAUUUGAUUUAUGUUAGUUUUAUUCAUUAUUGCGAUUGGGUUUUUAUUUGUAUUUAACUUGUAUAAAUGUUAUAAUUAGUAGUGUGAUAAUAUUGUUUAUAAUAAGGGCUCUAACAUUAGGUACAUAGGAACUAGGCAAAUAUUUCCUCUGCCUGUUUAUCAAAAACAUGGCCUUUUGAAUAUUUAAAAGGUCUGACCUGCCCGCUGAUGAGUUGAAGGGCUGCGGUAAUUUGACCGUACAAAGGUAGCAUAAUCAUUAGCCUUUUUAUUGUAGGCUUGUAUGAAGGGUUUGACAAGAGGAAGACUGUCUUUGUAUCUAUUCGUGAAUUUAACUUUUCAGUUAAAAGGCUGAGAUGAAUUUGAGGGACGAUAAGACCCUAUAGAGCUUGAUAUUGGCUUUGUUUAUUAUUUUUGGUUAUUUUAGUUUAUGAGCAAAAUAUUUUGCUGGGGCGGCUAGGAGGCAAUUAAACCCUUUUAUUUUUAAAAUAAAUAUUUUUAGUUUUAUGAUCCGUUUGUUGACGAUUUUAAGAUAAAGUUACCUUAGGGAUAACAGCGUUAUUUCUUUUGAGAGUUCAUAUCGACGAAGAAGCUUGCGACCUCGAUGUUGGAUUAGGAUUACUUUCUGGUGCAGCAGCUUGUAAUUGGUAGUCUGUUCGACUAACAGUAUCCUACAUGAUCUGAGUUCAGACCGGCGAGAGCCAGGUCGGUUUCUAUCUUCAAUAAUUUUACUUGUUUUUUAGUACGAAAGGGACAAUGACAUUAAAUAGUUUAUAAGAAUUUGAUAAAUAUUA
rnacentral:rRNA from 1 species